rnacentral:piRNA from 1 species
UCUUACUUUUGUAUAGAAGGA